rnacentral:rRNA from 1 species
AUUGAACGCUGGCGGCAGGCUUAACACAUGCAAGUCGAGCGAGCGGCGGACGGGUGAGUAAUGUCUGGGAAACUGCCUGAUGGAGGGGGAUAACUACUGGACACGGUAGCUCAUACCGCAUACCAUCAGAUGUGCCCAUAUGGGAUUACCUAGUAGGUGGGGUAAUGGCUCACCUAGGCGACGAUCCCUAGCUGGUCCGGGAGGAUGACCAGCAACACUGGAACUGAGACACGGUCCAGACUCGUACGGGAGGAAGCAGGGGGGAAUAUGGCACAAUGGGCGCAAGCCUGAUGCAGCCAUGCCGCGUGUGUGAAGAAGGCCUUCGGGUUGUAAAGCACUUUCAGCGAGGAGGCGUUACUCGCAGAAGAAGCACCGGCUAACUCCGUGCCAGCAGCCGCGGUAAUUC